rnacentral:lncRNA from 1 species
GGCUCACUUUAUUUUUGAGCACCAACUCCAUGCGAGGCAAUUACAGUUGCGAUGUUUUCCAGCUGCACUAGCUGGCCAGGGGCAAAGCUGGGAUUGCUGGGAAGCUGACCCAAAUCUCAACAGCCUACCAUGACCAAUGUGUGCCAGCCACUGUGUGCCUGGUGCCAUCAGCUGUGACGAGCAGCUGCAAGGAAGACAGCAGCCUGCCAGCUGUGAGGACAAGGCAAAGGGUCUCCAAGGAUCUGGUGGAAGCCUGAAGUUGGGGUGAAAGUGGAGGACAGGGAGGAGAAAUCGGAAAAAGAAAGGACUAGAAGACUCAAUUUUCCCUACACAGCCUGGGACACCCACAGGAAGACAGGACCCAGGAGGCUGUCCUUUGUUCCACACAAGAGCUUGGAGGCAAAUGGGAAGUCAGCACCAAACUGCAAAUAACUUUCCAGACACCCUCACAGCCUUGUGAAUGGAGGUGACACCCUCUUUCAAACUGGGAAUUCUCAGCCCUCACAGCUGGCCCCACUUCCAGGAACAGGAAUCUGCCUUGGCCUGGAAAAUGCACCAGCGUUUGCUCCAUUCCUGGGGCUGGGGGAAGGGGAUGGGUGACGGAAGAAUGCGGUCAGGCCACAGGCUGAGGAAUGCCUAAUGACAGCCCUGUCAGGCUUCUCAGGAAAAAACAACAAAACAAAGAAACCAACCAACUCAGAAGUAAGCCAUCUGCCUCCCUGGAAGCCAUAACCUGACAGGGAAAGUAAUACCUCAGUGUGAAUUAAUUUACGAUGAGUCAAGGAAGGAUGGGGGCCCUAAGGGAAGAACAGUCCUCCCGGGUUGGGCAGGGGAGGAGGUAGCAGGGCCCCAGUGCUGAAGCUGAGGCGGAGGAGAGCAGAUCUCUCACAGCCGAACUCCAGCCACAGAUGCAAAAUGGACGCAGCUCAUGGAAACAGAGUGGGUUGGGGGCUCUGGGACAGCAGCCGCUGCCUCUCCUCCCACGUUCCUGGCCUUCUCUUCCAGGUCUAACAUCUGCAGUAGCAGCUAUGUGGCCAGUAGCAACUCCAGUCCUGUGGCACUGGAUGUGGGGGGUGGCUGCUGAUCUGAAGUUUUCAGAAUGGACCCCCUCAGAGGUCAAGGCCAAACCACAAGGCUUCCCUGUCUAAAAGGCAAAGUUAAAGUGCCACACAGACAACAGUGAUGACCACUGAGGGGACAGAUGCCUUGAGAGUGGAGUCUGAGGGUGCGGGAGCUCAGGUUAAACCCUGAUCCUGCCACCAACUCCAUCAAAUUACUAACAUCUCUGUGCCUCAGUUUCCCCAUUGUAAAAUGGAGGUCAUGUUAUCACAUACUUUAUCACAUACUUUAAAAUGUUCUCAUGAGAGCCAGGCGCAGUGGCUGACACCUGUAAUCCCAGCACUUUGGGAUGCCAAGGCAGAUGGAUCACUUGAGGCCUCCGGAGUUCAAGACUGGCCUGGCCAACAUGGCAAAACCCUGUCUCUACUAAAAAUACAAAAAUCAGCCAGGCGUGGUGGCGCGCGCCUGUAAGCCCAGCUACUUGGGAAACUGAGGCAGGAGAAUUGCUUGAACCCAGGAGGCGGAGGUUGCAGUUAGGGGCGAUUGUGCCACUGCACUCCAGCCUGGGCGACAGAGCAAGACUCCAUCACACAAACACACACACACACACACACACACCAAUGUUCUCAUGAGGAUUAGAAGGGUUAAUACAUGCUAAAUGCUUAGACUUUUGCCAGGCAUGUAGUAAAUGCUAGUGAAUGUUAGCUAUGAUGAUGAGGAGGAGUGUGACAAUGAUAAGGAGGGUGAUAAUAACUUUGGGGUGACUCCAGGGCUCUGUGAUGGAGCAUUACAAGGCAUGACCAGGAAGUCUGGGUUUCUCCAGAGGUAGGAUAGCUUCUGUAGGACUUGGAGGGCAGAAAGCCCCCAUUAAUGGUCAUCUGGGGGAGUCAGUCAGCACCUGACUUUCAUGGGGCCCAACAGAGGGGCCUGGGUCCUCUUCUUCUGUCCCUACCCCCAUGAUGCAGGCAGCCUCCAUCUCUCUUAGGGUCUUGCCCAUCACUGCUGCUGUCUUCCCUGGCUUCUCCUGCAAUCUUUCCUGUUGUCUUCUUCUCCUCUCUGGAGCUGCCACUCACCCACAGACCAGCCAACAGCAUUUCUACCUUUAAAACUCUGCUAUUCAAGCCAGGCAUGGUGGUGCACGCCUGCAGUCCCAGCCAUUCGGGAGGCUGAGGCAGGAGGAUCUCUUGAGCCCAGGCGUUCAAGGCUGCAGUACGCUAUGACUGUGCCUGUGAAUAGCCACUUUACUCCACCCUGGGCAAUAUAACAAAACCCCAUCUUAAAAAA